ACGAACGCUGGCGGCGUGCCUAAUACAUGCAAGUCGAGCGGAAUGAUGAAGAAGCUUGCUUCUUCUGAUUUUAGCGGCGGACGGGUGAGUAACACGUGGGCAACCUACCUUGUAGAUUGGGAUAACUCCGGGAAACCGGGGCUAAUACCGAAUAAUCCAUUUUGCUUCAUGGCGAGAUGUUGAAAGACGGUUUCGGCUGUCACUACAAGAUGGGCCCGCGGCGCAUUAGCUAGUUGGUAGGGUAAUGGCCUACCAAGGCGACGAUGCGUAGCCGACCUGAGAGGGUGAUCGGCCACACUGGGACUGAGACACGGCCCAGACUCCUACGGGAGGCAGCAGUAGGGAAUCUUCCACAAUGGACGAAAGUCUGAUGGAGCAACGCCGCGUGAGUGAAGAAGGUUUUCGGAUCGUAAAACUCUGUUGUAAGGGAAGAACACGUACGAGAGUAACUGCUCGUACCUUGACGGUACCUUAUUAGAGAGCCACGGCUAACUACGUG
rnacentral:rRNA from 1 species